rnacentral:rRNA from 1 species
UACAGAGGGGGCAAGCGUUGUUCGGAAUUACUGGGCGUAAAGCGCGCGUAGGCGGACCUGCAAGUCGGGGGGUGAAAGCCCGAGGCUCAACCUCGGAACUGCCUUCGAUACUGCGGGUCUCGAGUCCGGGAGAGGUGAGUGGAAUUCCUAGUGUAGAGGUGAAAUUCGUAGAUAUUAGGAAGAACACCAGUGGCGAAGGCGGCUCACUGGCUCGGUACUGACGCUGAGGCGCGAAAAGCGUGGGGAGCAAACAGGG